UUUGUUAACCUAAACUUCCCCCUUCACAGCUUCUCCUUUCCUCUCCGCAUCGCGUCGCGAUCUUCUUCUAUCGCCGACGAGGGGUCACCGACGAGGAGGCUGGCGACAAGGAGGCCGUGAGCGCAGGCUGCUUAAGAGGUAAUCGCUGCCUCACCAACGCAUGAGGCAGUCGUUGACUUGCCAAGCAACGAGCGAUCGUUUCGUGUGUAGGCUGUUUGCCAACGUCUAUGGAAGAAGGGCCCACUGAAUGAUCGAUUAAACAAGUUAGUCAAAUGCUCGAUUUUGGCUCGUAGUGCAAGGUGGCCUUCUGUUCAACCUACAAGUUGCAGGCAUGGCGGAUAUGAACAAAGAGAAUGGUCCUUUGGGCGAGGAGGAGUUUGGUGGUUGAAUUGUUUCACGAAUCAUUUAGGAAUUGGAGUGAUGAAGUUCACAGCUGCAGCAAGAGAAUCCAUUGAUGUGGUUUCUGCAAUUGAUAAAUGCUCAAAAAGGAUAAAGAAGAAGACAUUCUAGCUGAAAUGAACAAAAGGUCAUUGCCCAAAUAUCUGAUUGAAAGCUCUUUAAAGAAAGAGAUCCUACAACUGGAAAAAUGCCUUAAAGAUCAGAUUGUGGUAUGUCGGGCAUCGAAAAAGCACUGCGGCGCGAAAUUUCUUCUGUCGAUGAAUCAUCUACUAAUUACAUCCCAAAAUUAAGCUCUUUCUUUUCUUAGCAGCAUCCCUUUCCUUCACUGAUAUGGGCAUUCGAAGAGCACUCUGGCAUAUAAGGAAUCUUGUGGGUGAACCACCAUAUGCUUGUGCGAUCAGCAAGAAUAGCAAGAGUGGUUUGCAUGAGCAUAAUACAACAUAUAUAGCUUGACGGCCAAUGACAAGAGACAUUGGCAAGCAAACAACAAGCUUCUCAGAAGACAAAAGAUGAGCAGAGCUUGCACAUGGCCUAAUGACCUAAGGAUAUCUUAUAUGAAAUUGCAGCAAAUGCAUGAUGGAUGUAAUUCUGCUGUGAGACCAACAAGUUCUUCAUAACAUUGUUGUUGCAGAAUACUUUCGAGAUGGUUGUAUUGAUCCUAGGAAUCUCCUUGAUGUAUUAAAAGAGGUUAAAGUAAGUUUACUGAAUCACAGAUAUAGGAAUGGAAAAGUUAUAACAAAGGAAGGCGACAAGGAAGUGCGGAUG